rnacentral:rRNA from 1 species
AACGAACGCUGGCAGCAGGCCCAACACAUGCAAGUCGAGCGCUCACCUUCGGGUGGGAGCGGCGCACGGGUGAGUAACACGUGGGAACCUACCUUGAAGUACGGAAUAACUGAGGGAAACUUCAGCUAAUACCGUAUACGCCCUACGGGGGAAAGAUUUAUCGCUUCAGGACGGGCCCGCGUUGGAUUAGCUAGUUGGUGAGGUAACGGCUCACCAAGGCAACGAUCCAUAGCUGAUUUGAGAGAAUGAUCAGCCACACUGGGACUGAGACACGGCCCAGACUCCUACGGGAGGCAGCAGUGGGGAAUAUUGGACAAUGGGCGCAAGCCUGAUCCAGCCAUGCCGCGUGAGUGAUGAAGGCCUUCGGGUUGUAAAGCUCUUUCAGAUGGGACGAUGAUGACGGUACCAUCAGAAGAAGCCCCGGCUAACUUCGUGCCAGCAGCCGCCGUAAAAC